AUUGAACGCUGGCGGCAGGCCUAACACAUGCAAGUCGAGCGGAUGAAGGGAGCUUGCUCCUGGAUUCAGCGGCGGACGGGUGGGUAAUGCCUAGGAAUCUGCCUGGUAGUGGGGGAUAACGUCCGGAAACGGGCGCUAAUACCGCAUACGUCCUGAGGGAGAAAGUGGGGGAUCUUCGGACCUCACGCUAUCAGAUGAGCCUAGGUCGGAUUAGCUAGUUGGUGGGGUAAAGGCCUACCAAGGCGACGAUCCGUAACUGGUCUGAGAGGAUGAUCAGUCACACUGGAACUGAGACACGGUCCAGACUCCUACGGGAGGCAGCAGUGGGGAAUAUUGGACAAAGGGCGAAAGCCUGAUCCAGCCAUGCCGCGUGUGCGAAGAAGGUCUUCGGAUUGUAAAGCACUUUAAGUUGGGAGGAAGGGCAGUAAGUUAAUACCUUGCUGUUUUGACGUUACCAACAGAAUAAGCACCGGCUAACUUCGUG
rnacentral:rRNA from 1 species